CCAUCGCUACGAAGAUCUGCUGACUCUGCCUGCCUGCUGGAAGGCCUGCCAGCCUAAUUGAAGAUCAUGUCCCUCCAAUGUCAAUAAUCUUUGAUUCCUCAAAUCAAUUCAUUCUUUCACACAAAGUUCCUUAGGUCCACACAAGGACUCAGCUCAGCAUUUCAUCCCAGCAUGAAUGGUGUAGCGGAGAGAGCCAAUGAGAUUGUGGAACAAUACAUGUUACGUGUUACAUGGACUAUCAUCAAGACAACUGGUCAGAUUUGCUACCCUUUGCCGAAGUGGCGUACAACAA